rnacentral:rRNA from 1 species
AGAGUUUGAUCCUGGCUCAGAACGAACGCUGGCGGCGUGCCUAAGACAUGCAAGUCGAACGAGAAAGUCACCUUCGGGUGGCGAGUACAGUGGCGCACGGGUGAGUAACGCGUGGGUAAUCUGCCCUAGGGUCUGGGACAACUCCGGGAAACUGGAGCUAAUACCGGAUAAGACCACGAGGUCCUCGGACUUCGCGGAAAAAGGUGGCCUCUUCUUGAAAGCCAUCGCCUUUGGAUGAGCCCGCGUCCCAUUAGCUUGUUGGUGAGGUAAAAGCUCACCAAGGCCGCGAUGGGUAGCUGGUCUGAGAGGAUGAUCAGCCACACUGGAACUGAGACACGGUCCAGACUCCUACGGGAGGCAGCAGUCGGGAAUCUUGUGCAAUGGGGGAAACCCUGACACAGCAACGCCGCGUGAGGGAUGAAGGCCCUCGGGUCGUAAACCUCUGUCGGGAGGGAAGAAAGGGCUGUCGGUUAAUAUCCGGCGGCUUUGACGGUACCUCCAAAGGAAGGACCGGCAAACUCCGUGCCAGCAGCCGCGGUAAUACGGAGGGUCCAAGCGUUGUUCGGAAUCAUUGGGCGUAAAGCGGGUGCAGGCGGUUUGGUAAGUCGGAUGUGAAAUCCCAGGGCCCAACCCUGGAACUGCAUUCGAAACUAUCAGACUAGAGUCGCGGAGAGGAUGGCGGAAUUCCCGGUGUAGGGG